UACGGAGGGUGCAAGCGUUGUCCGGCUUUAUUGGGUUUAACGGGUGCGUAGGCGGAUGAUUAAGACAGUGGUGAAAGCCCACAGCUCAACCGUGGAACUGCCAUUGAUACUGGUUAUCUUGAGUAUAGAUGAGGCAGGCGGAAUUUACGAUGUAGCGGUGGAAUGCAUAGAUAUCGUAAAGAACACCUAUAGCGAAUGCAGCUUGCUAAACUAUAACUGGCGCUGAGGCACGAAAGCAUGGGUAGCGAACAGG
rnacentral:misc_RNA from 1 species